rnacentral:rRNA from 1 species
CAUCCAGCCGGACCUGACUGCUAUCGGAUUGAUACUAAGCCAUGCGAGUCAUUGUAGCAAUACAAGGCAUACGGCUCAGUAACGCGUAGUCAACCUAACCUAUGGACGGGAAUAACCUCGGGAAACUGAGAAUAAUGCCCGAUAGAACAUUAUGCCUGGAAUGGUUUAUGUUCCAAAUGAUUUAUCGCCGUAGGAUGGGACUGCGGCCUAUCAGUUUGUUGGUGAGGUAAUGGCCCACCAAGACUAUUACAGGUACGGGCUCUGAGAGGAGUAGCCCGGAGAUGGGUACUGAGACACGGACCCAGGCCCUAUGGGGCGCAGCAGGCGAGAAAACUUUGCAAUGUGCGAAAGCACGACAAGGUUAAUCCGAGUGGUUUCUGCUAAAGAAACCUUUUGUCAGUCCUAGAAACACUGAUGAAUAAGGGGUGGGCAAGUUCUGGUGU